rnacentral:misc_RNA from 1 species
AAAAAUCAUGGUUUCCAAACCUUAGCUUAGACAUGUCCCUCUUUCCAUCCACUUUCUUUCCAUUAGUGUUAGUUUUAGCAUUUUCCAACUUCUGUACCUCAUCUGCUAUUCGCUACAAAAUCUCAAAUAGAAACCUUACUGAAUCUUCCUGUCCAUUGAACUUCGAUGUUCUUCUACAACUCGCCGCUGAAGCUCAAAUAAGGCCUGCUCUUAUCGAUGUGCCUACUCAAUGUCUGUACAUUCAGAAGGGAACUCUUUUCGUUCGAUCAGAAUACCUUCGAACCAAUGGGUACUUUGUUCCCCCUCCUGACACUUAUCAGGCAUGCUGGGAAUCAUAUAGGAGCUUAGUUGGAGAUUUCUUACACGGUUUUGAUAUCCAAUCCACUUGUGGGUAUCAUCCUGAAUGGAUUUCAGACACUUAUAUCAACAUUACAACUCAGGAACAGUUUGAGAGCCUAUUUCCCAGGUCCGAAUUGCAGGAACUGAGGCUUUCUUGUAAUCAGUCUUUGGAAAAUGGCUUUGUUUGUCAAUCUUGUAUCCACAAGUUGUCGAGUAUUCAGAAACUGUCCCUCCAGGGUCCUGAAACUGAGAAUGCUUCAAUUUCUUCUGAUUACUUUUUUAUGUACGCGGCUGCUUUUAGCAAUAAACUUGGACCGAGCGAUCAAGCAACAGCGAAAUGCUUGUUCAGGCUUGAAUUUUCUAUGCAGUUGAACUCCAAUGAGAAGCGCCUGUCUUUAAUUUCUGGUGUUGUUUUAGGUUGCAUUAUUGGGGUCUUGGGGGCUUCAAUUGCAGCGUGGUUGUUCUGGAUGCUGCACAAGAAAUGUGGAAAGGAAAGGGAAAAGAACAAUUCUGGUAAUAAAGAUGAGACUAGUUUGGACCUUGGAUUAGGACUGCAAACUAGAAGUACCAAUUUAGUCAAGUUUAAAAUCGGUGAAAUCAGGACUGCUACAACGAAUUUCUCAAGACAUAAUAUUAUUGGGAAGGGAAGUUAUGGGAAUGUUUACAAGGGGAUGUUAGCUGAUGGAUCUGAACUUGCAUUCAAGAGAUUCAAGAACUGUUCUGCUUCUGGUGAUGCAAUCUUUGCACAUGAAGUGGAAAUCAUCGCAAGUGUUAAGCAUGUCAAUCUUGUUGCUUUAAGAGGCUACUGUACUGCAACAUUUCCUAUGGAAGGUCACCAACGAAUUAUUGUCUGUGAUCUAAUGCAUAAUGGAAGCCUCUAUGACCAUCUGUUCGGAUCAGGAAUGAAGAAGCUAAGCUGGCCAAUUCGUCAGAAUAUUGCCCUGGGAACAGCUCGCGGAUUGGCUUAUCUACACUAUGGGGUGCAACCUGCAAUCAUACAUAGAGAUAUAAAGGCUAGUAAUAUACUUCUGGAUGAGACAUUUGAGGCAAAGGUAGCAGAUUUUGGCCUCGCAAGGUUCAAUUCACAAGGAAUGUCACAUUUGAGCACCAGGGUAGCAGGGUCUCUUGGCUAUGUUGCUCCGGAAUAUGCCUUAUACGGCAAGUUAACCGAAAGAAGCGAUGUUUACAGCUUCGGCGUUGUGCUUCUUGAGCUCCUGAGCGGAAGAAAAGCAUAUGAAAACGACGAAGAAAAAGUUUCUCUAUUGACAGAUUGGGCAUGGACGCUUGUGAAGGAAGGCAGAGCAUUGGAUGUCAUCGAAGAAAACAUGCCUGAAAUGGGAUCCCCGGAAGUGAUGGAGCUAUAUGUUCACAUAGCUGUUAUCUGUGCUCAUCCAGUAUUAUUUGCCAGGCCAACAAUGUAUCAGAUUGUGAAGCUACUGGAAACCAAUCUGCAGCUGGUUCCCUCAACUCUUGCAGCUUAUGUUGGUGGUUCUAACAGUGGGCUUAGCUCUAUCUGCCCAGGUUAUAUGUCCUGUUCUUCCAUCACAAGUGAUGAUCAAAAUUUGGACAAUAAGGAUACACAGGGAAGCUUCACACUGACAGUUCUCAAGUGAAUUGUUUGACAGUAAAUGAAUCUCUUUUUUUUUCACCUUUUGUAUUCUUAGUCCAUUACAUUUAUUGUUUCCCCCCUGUAAAAUUCUAAAGAAAAGAAAUGAGUUCUUUCUCCUUCCUUUUAAUUCUAAUAAAACCAAACUAAG